AGCGAACGCUGGCGGCAGGCCUAACACAUGCAAGUCGAGCGCCCCGCAAGGGGAGCGGCAGACGGGAGAGUAACACGUGGGAACAUGCCCUUCAGUACGGGACAACCAAGGGAAACUUUGGCUAAUACCGUAUACGCCCGUAAGGGGAAAGAUUUAUCGCUGAAGGAUUGGCCCGCGUCUGAUUAGCUAGUUGGUGGGGUAAUGGCCCACCAAGGCGACGAUCAGUAGCUGGUCUGAGAGGAUGAUCAGCCUCACUGGGACUGAGACACGGCCCAGACUCCUACGGGAGGCAGCAGUGGGGAAUAUUGGACAAUGGGCGCAAGCCUGAUCCAGCCAUGCCGCGUGAGUGAUGAAGGCCUUAGGGUUGUAAAGCUCUUUCGUCAGGGAAGAUAAUGACGGUACCUGAAGAAGAAGCCCCGGCUAACUUCGUGCCAGCAGCCGCGGUAA
rnacentral:rRNA from 1 species